rnacentral:rRNA from 1 species
CCUACGGGUGGCAGCAGUGGGGAAUAUUGGUCAAUGGCCGAAAGCCUGACCCAGCAACGCCGCGUGAAGGAAGAAGGCUUUCGGGUUAUAAACUUCUUUUCUAAGGGACGAAGAAAGUGACGGUACCUUAGGAAUAAGCUCCCGCUAACUACGUGCCAGCAGCCGCUGUAAUACGUAGGGAGCGAGCGUUAUCCGGAUUUAAUGGGUGUAAAGGGCUGGUAGGGGGGAUGGCAAGUCAGGCGUGAAAACUAUGGGCUCCACCCAUAGCCUGCGUUUGAAACUGUCGUUCUUGAGUGAUGGAGAGGCAAGCGGAAUGCGGUGUGUAGCGGUGAAAUGCGUAGAUAUACGGAGGAACACCAGUGGCGAAGGCGGCUUGCUGGACAUUAACUGACGCUGAGGCGCGAAAGCGUGGGGAGCAAACAGGAUUAGAUACCCCAGUAGUC